rnacentral:lncRNA from 1 species
CAUUCCAAGGUCUGAACUCCGUUCCUAGCUAAACCUCUUCCUUGUUUACAGGGACUGAAAUAGCCACACUUUGACCUUCUGUUCAGUCUGGGAACAUUGAUGGCAAUGUGGAUACAUUCUUUUCCCAUGUGAGAAUUAUAUCUGUAUGGCACAGUUCUGGAAGGCUCAGAAAAUUUUAGUUUUGUUCCUUUCUUCUCUCCUUCCUUCCAUGGUCUCCCUCCCCCCACUUCAGAAGAUCAGCUUCUGUAAUCAGCCUGUAUUAACCAGAACUUUACCUAUCUUCCUGUUCAGGCAGAUGUAUACAGAAUUGUAGUCAGGACCGGUUGCUUUAUUGCCCAAAAAAAUUGGAAAUGCCUUCUCCUCCCUGCAGCAGUAUCAGCUUUCUAUAGAAGGCACUGUUCAUUGAGGUGCUCAGGGUGCCACAGGGGUGGUGUGCACAACUGAGAUGGGCCCCCUGGGUACAAUCUCCUGGCGUUGUCAAGACUCUGACCCAAGUCUAGUGCCAUAUCCCAUCGUGGCCUAUCGCUCCUAUUUCAUCUGCUCUGGAUUCCCAGUGUUCAAAUUACAGGGUUGUGUUUUUGGUAUAUGUAAAUGACUAUAUGUGGAGUUGAGGAAGGAGUAGAUAAUUUUUGGAAGGAUUAUCCAAGAUAAUCCCCGUGAAAGCCACAUGGCCUGGACAGCGAGAAUUCCUGAAGGAGGAAGCCCUGGAGGCUGAAGGGAUCAGGAAAGGUGAGUUGUAAAAGAUAGGAGAGUGUAUAACAUGGGCGGACAGGGAGCAGGACAGAAAAGAGAAAGUACAUAGCCUGGGACAGAGCUUUUGAGGGCCUUGAAGGAUGUAUUAGGGAUAUGAGACUUGGGGAGUCACUGAGGACACUUGAGCAGGGCUUGGAAAAGGGGGGUUAAGGAAUCAUCAUUACUUUGCUGCCUACCCAUUGCAAAGCGGUUGGAGAUGCACAGUAACAGUCCAUAUACUAAGAGGUACACCCAAAGUAGUGAUGGCGAUAUUGGAAAGGAGCAGAUGAUCAUGUAGACUUAGUGUGAGAGACUGCACAGGGCCCAGGGAUGGAUGCAGGGACAGAAACUGUCAGGGCAGAAGAUGGUCUUGGCUGAAAUACCUGGGAAAAGCUGACAAGAAUAGGGAAGGAAUUGCCUACGAACCACAAGCUCGCCAGCAGCAAAAGUAGACAGCAAGGCACUGAAAGAGACACCAGAGACUCCACCCAUCCUAAAUCAACAGGCCAACUUGGGAAAGGAAACUCAUAUGGUCCACUUCCUUUGCCUGCCCAUUCCAUUUCUUCCUUUUGUAGUCCCUGAAAGCAACAUGACAGCUUUGGUUACAGGCCAUGUCACCACAGCUAGGCCAGCUGCUUUUCCACUCCAAGCCCAGAGAGGCAGCAGUAGCCCCUUCCUUCUCAGAGCACAGGGGCUGCUAGAUAAUUGUCUCAUGUGAAUUAUCCCAAAGUAAGAACCACUGUAGAGUGUUCUUCAGAAAAGGUUUCUAGGAAUCCACACAUAAACCUUCCUUUGGCUGCUUGCAUGUAUGUGGUCAAGUUUAGAAUGAGAUGGAACUUGCAGAAGAAGAAAAUUGCCCUUGUCUAUUUCUUUAGUAAGCUAGUUUCACUCCACUAUGACAUACACUCCUUGGGAGUAGAAUGAGAGGAGUUGGUACCACGUCACACUGUAAUCAGUGCACUUGAGGGGAGUUCAAGGGCAGCAAACCAGGCUUAGUAAGUGUGGAUUCACAAGGGAACUUUAGUUGCUAUAGCCCCCUAAACAAUGGCCCCACCAUAAGCCCCCUGCAACUCCAAGUCCCAACCCUGGGCUGCUUCAUACAACAUAUUCUCAGAUUGUGGGGUUUUGUGCCCCCAUCUGCUUCCAGGUAGAAAUCAGGGUGUAGCAGACAAAAGACACAGUUACCAGGAGGGGUCCUAUUAUUGGCCCUGCUGAGUGUCACAGGUGUAUGGCAUGCACCAAAGACAGGAUGUACACACCCUGCCCGGGGUAAUUUCUUCAUUAUAGAGCAUAUGAUAAGUGGUAGUUGACUCCUCAUUUCUGUGCUGGGUACCAUGGGGAGGCAAAGGAAUCAGAAAGUGAGAUUUUCCUGAAGCAGUUUACUUCCUUGUUCACUCCUAGUAGAACCUUUUUGUGGCUCAGAGAAAUCUGAGGCUGUAAAGGUGGAAAUGGGCCAGGAUCACUUGAGCACAUUACAGCUCUCUAGUUUUGGCCUGCUAGGAUUAAUUCACUUUUUACAACAACCUGAAUAGGUAGAUAGGUAGUAAGUAGCAUAGUAACGCAGUCAAGGUUCAGGAUAUUCAGAUUCCCAUUCUAGAAAACCUUGUCCUGCUUUCUCCCUAGGGAUUUCCCAUGAUCCAUGGAUGCAUGGUAUUAUAUUGGGCCUUAAGACUUGCAAGCCAUUAUUUCUACCCAUUUGUAUGUCAUCUAAAAACUAGGAUAUGGAAAGGUAUUUUGUGUGUCAAAGUUCAGGUCCAGAUGCAGCACUAUACAGUGGUGGUUUAUGGAGAAGUGUUAAAAAAUUAUUCAGUUCUCCAUGUUUGAGUGUUCACCUAAAUAUUCUGAGUUCAGGAUUUACUAAGUAAUUUCUACCUUGGAACAAUUAAGUGGUUGUUAUCAAUAAUGAUGUUUUCUUCAUAGCCUUUUCUCUCACAUAAGCAUUUCCCUGUACAAACGUCUAGUAUAUACUUAUUUGCUUUUGCGAAUACCUUUUCUACAAAUAUAAGUGAGUAUGACAUGUUGGCAAGAAACAAAGGCAUUAGGAGUUGGAGAAGGAAAGGAAAAAUAGAGGGUUUGGAGUUUGGGGGUUUUUUUGGUUGGCAGGGGGCGGGUAUUGAGAGGGUAUUGAGGAUCACCCAUAGGGCCUCAUAACUAAUGCUAGGCAAGCACUCUACCUCCCAUCUACAACCCUAGCCCUUUUUAUUUUGAGAUAGGGUCUCAUUAAGUUGCCCAGGCUGACCUCAAACUUGUGAGCUUCCUGCCUUAGCCUUCCAAGUAGUUCAGACUGUAAGUGUGACAUCACACCUUAGCAAUUGUACAAGCAAAUUGGGUAAACCAAAACAUAAUAGAUCGGAGAUGCAUAUAUGACCAGAGUGCUUAUCUGGCACACACAAGGCCCUGGAAUCAAUCCUCACAACACAAAGAGAAAACGUCCAGGACCAGCCCCAGAUAGGUAGGAGUCAAGGACUUCAAUGAUUAUUUGAAGGCCCUUGUUUUUGCCACAAGGCAAAGAGAAAGGUAGUUCUUUGCAACUUUAGGAAAGGGGACCUUUAAAAGUUUUUAUUAUGUAAGUAACGAUAAGUGGAAAUUAAAUGUUAGCCCUAUAUCUCACUGUGCUGUGACCAUUGAUCCUCUUGUGUAUGGUCUUUAUUGGGAGAGAUUGUUUACCUACAUACACACACACUCAUAAGGAAUCACUCUUGAAUUUCUCCAUGGGUUUCUCAGUCAUGGCAUUAGGAAAAAAGUACUGUACAUGGUUUUGAGGUCUACUCUGCCAACAUGUUUUCUUUCUGUUUCAGGCUUGAAAAAAACCUUGCCCAGUUUUGAUCCCUUCAAGACUUUGCCACAGCCUCUAUCACACAUCUGUUUUACUCGAAGAAAAAAAAUAUAUAAUAAAAAAUGUUUUACUCUUUUACACUGUAUAAUUCUAAGAAAUAGUGUUAUUUGUGAAUGCAUGGUGUGACAUAAUUUCUGUACAGUUUGGAGAUAUUUUCAAAUGAAACAUAAAAGAAGUCAACAAUAAAACCAAGAAAGUGAGUAUUUUUAUACCAAACAUUUUAAUUCUGACAGGAUGGAUUCUUACACUGGGUUGGAUCACAAAUUUUAUGCUAGACUUAUCGAAUGCUUGUAAUUAAAAAUAUCUAUUUUUUUCUUUAAAAUAAGCUGCAUGUUUGAGGCAUGUUUCGAAAUAGUUACCAACAUUUCCAGAAUUGUAUUGUUAAAUGUAUAGACACUGUCUGCCUGGCUGAAGUCCAGGGUUCAUUAGUAAUGUAGUGUUAGAACUGUUCUCUUCAGCCCUGGUCUGUGAUCCCAGUUCCCAUAUGAUAUCCCUACAAGACAAUCAAAGCUUCCAGGAGCUACUUUAAUGGCAUAUUCACAACUGGGCAAAGAAAACUUGGGGAGAAAUUCUUUAGACUAGAGUGUGCCCUUUGAAAGAUCUGGCAGCUCCAUCUGUGACUGUAUGAACUGUGUGUUUCAAGUUUCAUGUUUAUCUUUUAUGAGAGCUUGCUCCCCUGUGUGACUAACUUGCUGUAUUACUCACCUUCCAUAGCUAUGCCACUGCUCCUGUGGGACUGUAGUAGCCCUCACUGUGAAGGAGCACCUUGGCUUCGGGGCUGGCUUUGCCCAACUACAAUGGGCAAGCCCACAUCUGCCAAGUGAUUUUACCCAACUUUGGCUGAACUAAGCUAGUGUUCAAACAGACCGCCUGUCACAUGUUCUGGAAUCCCAGGUUGCUUGUCGUGAGGUUCCCAACUACUCUGGCACAGGGGGAACCACGGUAACCAAUGGCCAAGAGGAGGACGGUUGGGCUUCUUUCAAAAUGGUCAAAGCUAAACAGUCUUUGUGUUUUAAGGUGACACAUUCCAGAAUCUGUGACAGCUCAGCCUCUCCCCCUUCCCCUUGUAUAAAAGCCAUGUGUAAAACUAUAUUGACCUAAGAGUUUCUAACUGCUAAUAUAGCUAGAAAUGAUCACAAUCUUUCCUACUGAUCUGCUCACUCACUGUGUUGAAAAAUUCAAUAUUUUAAUGAUUAUAUGCUUGAUUUGGGGGUUUUGUUUGUUGUAUCAUUUUUCAUUAGAAAUAAAAAUAACAUUUUUAAUGGUUAUCACAACAAAGCAAAGCUAGGAGUGAGGGGCUCUUUCUUACCAACAAGAAGAAGAAAGAGGGCAGGCAGUAGCCUAGAGGCUCCUGAUAGAUCUGCUUGGGUGUUUAGGGAGGGUCUAUGCCCUCAGCACCACUUAACUCUUGGUGAGACUCCUGUAUUUGAUUUUAAGGAAAACAAAGCCACUUCACUAUUAUGCUUUUUUAAACUGUUUGUUUAAAGGUACUUUUCUAUUGUUAUUUUUAAAAAAUAAAGUGCUUAUUCCAGCUAUCACACCAUUGCUUGACAAAUUCUUUUUUUCAAGAUCAGCCAAAUGUGUCCCACACACUGCAGUCUAGGGACCAGAAAUUUCUGUUUCAGGCUUUGGGACCAGCUAAGCACUAGCAUGGAAAG